rfam:Candidatus Accumulibacter sp. SK-11 contig000003, whole genome shotgun sequence.
GAAGUCGGUCAGGCAGCCGCUGGGCAAGAGGUGCAAACCUGGCGCCGAGAGGAAAGUCCGGGCUCCACAGAGCACGAUGCCGGUUAACGACCGGGCACCGCAAGGUGACGGAAAGUGCAACAGAAAACAAACCGCCGAUGUCCCGGCUCAGGCUGGGGCAGGUAAGGGUGAAACGGUGAGGUAAGAGCUCACCGCGGACGUGGUAACACGGACGGCACGGCAAACCCCAUCCGGAGCAAGGCCAAAUAGGGAAGCAUAUGGCGUGGCUCGCGCUGCUUCCGGGUAGGCUGCUUGAGCGUGCUGGUGACAGUACGCCUAGAUGAAUGGCUGUCCACGACAGAACCCGGCUUAUCGACCGGCUUCCCAU